rnacentral:rRNA from 1 species
UACGGGAGGCAGCAGUGGGGAAUUUUCCGCAAUGGGCGAAAGCCUGACGGAGCAAUACCGCGUGAGGGAGGAAGGCUCUUGGGUUGUAAACCUCUUUUCUCAGGGAAGAAGUUCUGACGGUACCUGAGGAAUCAGCAUCGGCUAACUCCGUGCCAGCAGCCGCGGUAAUACGGAGGAUGCAAGCGUUAUCCGGAAUGAUUGGGCGUAAAGCGUCCGCAGGUGGCACUCCAAGUCUGCUGUCAAAGGUCGGGGCUCAACUCCGAACAGGCAGUGGAAACUGGAGAGCUAGAGUGCGGUAGGGGCAGAGGGAAUUCCCGGUGUAGCGGUGAAAUGCGUAGAGAUCGGGAAGAACACCAGUGGCGAAAGCGCUCUGCUAGGCCGCAACUGACACUCAGGGACGAAAGCUAGGGGAGCGAAUGGNAUUAGAUACCCCAGUAGUCCUAGCCGGUAAACGAUGGAUACUAGNGCGUGGCAUGUAUCGACCCUGUGCCGGUGCCGGAGCUAACGCGUUAAGUAUCCCGCCUGGGGAGUACGCGCGCAAGCGUGAAACUCAAAAAAAUUGACNG